UACGUAGGGUGCAAGCGUUAAUCGGAAUUACUGGGCGUAAAGCGUGCGCAGGCGGUUUGGUAAGACAGAUGUGAAAUCCCCGGGCUCAACCUGGGAAUUGCAUUUGUGACUGCCCGACUAGAGUGUGUCAGAGGGGGGUAGAAUUCCACGUGUAGCAGUGAAAUGCGUAGAGAUGUGGAGGAAUACCGAUGGCGAAGGCAGCCCCCUGGGAUAACACUGACGCUCAUGCACGAAAGCGUGGGGAGCAAACAGGAUUAGAGUACCC
rnacentral:rRNA from 1 species